UCCAUUGAAGCGGAUUCUGAGCUUUCUCACCUCCAUUGAAGCAGCUUCGAGGACAAGGGUAUUGGACAUUGGCGUUUCAGCUGUAUCAUGUCUUUCCCUUGGAAGCCUAUCCUUUCUGCUACAGGUUAUACAGAGUACUAUUAUGAUCCAAGAUCUGGUAAAGUUUGCAGAUAUGUCACAACAAAAAUGAAGCAUGUGGAGCACUGGAAUGUCCCAAAAAUGGCUCUGUUGAAGCAAAUUUUGAAGCUGAGCAUUAAGUUCUGAAAUUACUAUAACCAUAGGACUGAAAGCUUUGUGAAUAGUGAUGCUUAUGGUUGUGAUACUAGUAGAUACAGAGAACUACAGAAGGCAUUGUAGUUUUGUGAGUACAAACAGAUAUAUUAGCAUCCAAAGUCUAGUUUAUAAGAACUGAUAGAUUGAUACUUGUAUUUUUAUUUUUGCUAGGAUAAUUUUUGUAGGUUAUUUUUGUGCAAUAUAUGGUCUACUUUUGUAUUGGUUUUCUACACAAGUUUUUUUUGUA